rnacentral:lncRNA from 1 species
AUGCGCUCAGGACAUGGAGCUCCCCAGCUCAUUCGGGGAGCUUGCUCUGCCCCUCAGCACGGGGUCGGGGGGCCCCUCCAGAGUACCAGCUGUUGUGGCGGGGCUCAGGUGCAGCUUGUCAGGGCAGGGAGUGUGGACAGGGCCUCACUGGGUUUAGGUGGAGCCCCUGAAAGGAAGCAGCUGGGCGCGCAGAAGCAGCAAGUGUCUGGAUUUAUUGGAUACUUGGUCAUUCGUGGUUCUGAGUCUUCGGGAUCUCAGGGGCUGGGAACCAGUCCAGCCAGAGCUUCCUCAGGAGCUGGGGGACCCAGCCCCCAGGCCUUUCCUCCUUGUUGUCCCCCUCAGACGCCUCUACAGAGCACAGACAGGCAAGCCCUGUGGGUCCCUUGCGGGGAGGACCCUUCCCCAGGGCCGGGGCGCCCUCUGACACUGGGGGAACAGGCUGGCGCUGAUGAAACGCUUGCUACUCCCCCAAACCAAGGGGAGAGGCCUCAAGCUCCUGCCGACCAGGAAGGAAGCAGGAGGCAGCCGAGACAUUCAGGGAGGAUGGGGCUUCUGGCUACCUGGGCUUCUUUCCUCCCCUCCCCAACCCAGGGCCAGAGGCCUGAGAGAGGCCGCCCGCUGAGCUCUGCAGGGUCCCGGGGCAGCGGGGCGGGGUCUGCCGUCUUACCAGAAGCGUAUACUGCAAUCUCCUUUCGGACCUUUGUGUUCUCCUGGGAAGAGAGACGGGGCACAGUGGUGGGACGAGACAGAUGCCACCUUCCACAGACGGGGGAGGUCAGGGGAGGCAGGGUCCGGACCCACUGUGGUGGGACGAGACAGAUGCCACCUUCCACAGACGGGGGAGGUCAGGGGAGGCAGGGUCCGGACCCACUCUCCGCUCACACCGUGGCCGCUGCCUCUCCACCCCAUACGGCUCCUUGCUCCACUGGGACUGCGAAGGCACUUUGGCCCCGUGGUCUUGCAGGUGCCCCAUCCCCCCCAAACACUGCCCUCCCCCCGCCCCCGCAGUGUUCUGGGGCUUCGUGGUAG